rnacentral:rRNA from 1 species
AGUGGCGGACGGGUGAGUAACGCGUGAGAAUCUGCCUUGGGGUCGGGGACAACCACUGGAAACGGUGGCUAAUACCGGAUACGCCUUCGGGUAAAAGAUUUAUUGCCCUAAGAGGAGCUCGCGUCUGAUUAGCUAGUUGGUGAGGUAAGAGCUCACCAAGGCAGCGAUCAGUAGCUGGUCUGAGAGGACGAUCAGCCACACUGGGACUGAGACACGGCCCAGACUCCUACGGGAGGCAGCAGUGGGGAAUUUUCCGCAAUGGGCGAAAGCCUGACGGAGCAAGACCGCGUGAGGGAGGAAGGCUCUUGGGUUGUAAACCUCUUUUCUCAGGGAAGAAGCUCUGACGGUACCUGAGGAAUCAGCCUCGGCUAACUCCGUGCCAGCAGCCGCGGUAAUACGGAGGAGGCAAGCGUUAUCCGGAAUUAUUGGGCGUAAAGCGUCCGCAGGUGGCGAUUCAAGUCUGCUGUCAAAGCACGGGGCUUAACUCCGUAAAGGCGGUGGAAACUGAAUAGCUAGAGUGCCGUAGGGGUAGAGGGAAUUCCCGGUGUAGCGGUGAAAUGCGUAGAGAUCGGGAAGAACAUCGGUGGCGAAAGCGCUCUACUGGACGGCAACUGACACUCAGGGACGAAAGCUAGGGGAGCGAAUGGGAUUAGAUACCCC